AAACACUGCUACCACCACCCUGAAGUAUCAGAAUUGCCUCUUUCGGCACUGCUUAAAGCAUAGUAUUUACCAGGAAAAGAAAAUACUUAAUCUCUCACUCAGUUUUUAAGGGAAAAGGUCAGUUUUUCUCUUCUGUGUUAACAAAAAACAGCAUUUCCCCAAAGAAAAUAUGAACUUCUUCAGAGAUGUUUUCUGCGAACAAUAAGAAUCUCAAACACUUCUGCUGGGACUGCAAAGAAUCAACAAUAUAGCUGCAGCUUGUGAUAAGAGGAGAAAGAACUCAUCAAAUAAAGUUCUGGACCACAAAUCGUAAAGAAAGUUUCAACAGUUGAACCUUAAAAGUUCAUUGAAACAAAGACAAAGUAGCAUCUCUAAGUUAGCACAGAAGUCGUCUGUCCUGCAGAAGGGCUCUUUCUGAGAUUUAUGGAAGAAGACUUAAUUGCCUUGUUUUCUACUCCUUGAAUUAUAUUUGUCAAGCACCUGUUCGCCAGCCAUAUACACAGUUUUCCUGCCUAGACACAAGUUUCCAAAUGUUGCUGUCUACAUUUAAUAUGUGCCAUUAUGUACCCAGGGGCAAAGCUCUCAGAAGUAUUAAAAGUGGCUUGAAUUAUAUAGAAAUGUGUUUAAAGAUCUGUGUCAAGGUGCCUUGAAAUACUGAGACCUAAACACCAUCUGGUUCUAUCAAAAACUAGUGUGUUAGACAAGUCAAGCAGUUCUGAAAAAUCAGGCCACUUAGAGCCUCAAUAUGCAACAUGCUGAGCAACUCCUGCCCUUCAGGAUCAAGCUUCUUUUUAAAAAUUUAAGUUUGAAAUGUUGGACAUAAUUAAUUUUCUGCUACGAUUAGUUUGAGGCCAAACAAUGGGAUACAGAUCACAGAUCUAGGCUUUAGCUGGAUCCUAAGGAUGUCCUUGCUUUGAAAUGUAAUAUGCCUGAAGAAAAAGAGUCUCCUACACUCUUUGUUCCUUAUGAGAAUUUAAAUAUUUAAUGUGGGAGAAUGUAGAGUUACAUUUUAAGCCUGUGUACUGAUUAUAGCUAUUGAAGCCACUCUUAUUUCAUACUUCUUUGUUAAAUUUGUUCUUUAGAAAUCCUUUUGAUGAUUUAUUUCCCAUGUCAACAGCCAUUAUAAGGAACAGUACUGAAACAUUUCAUGUUAUUGUUAAUUUUUCAUUAGAGUUUAUUAUUUUAAAUUGGUACAUUGAUGCUAAAAAAUAACAAAACCCACUUUAUUAAUCAAAAUCCCCAGUGCAGCAAAUUACAAUGUAUGAUUUCUGCUGAGGUUUUUGUUUGUUUUUCUUUUUUUCUUUUUUUAUAAUGUUUACCCCUUUUCAGGGUUAUAAAUAAUGAAUGUGGGUUUUUUUGUUUGUUUGUUUGUUUGUUUUUUGUUUUUUGUUUUUCUCAGAAGGCCUUUGCAACAGUCCUGAAGUCCUGGAGGACUGUGGUAAAGGAUAUUAAAUGUAGUAUCACCCAGC
ensembl:lncRNA